rnacentral:rRNA from 1 species
GACGAACGCUGGCGGCGUGCCUAAUACAUGCAAGUAGAACGCUGAAGGAGGAGCUUGCUCUUCUGGAUGAGUUGCGAACGGGUGAGUAACGCGUAGGUAACCUGCCUGGUAGCGGGGGAUAACUAUUGGAAACGAUAGCUAAUACCGCAUAACAGUAGAUGUUGCAUGACAUUUACUUAAAAGUUGCAAUUGCAUCACUACCGGAUGGACCUGCGUUGUAUUAGCUAGUUGGUGGGGUAACGGCUCACCAAGGCGACGAUACAUAGCCGACCUGAGAGGGUGAUCGGCCACACUGGGACUGAGACACGGCCCAGACUCCUACGGGAGGCAGCAGUAGGGAAUCUUCGGCAAUGGACGGAAGUCUGACCGAGCAACGCCGCGUGAGUGAAGAAGGUUGUCGGAUCGUAAAGCUCUGUUGUAAGAGAAGAACGAGUGUGAGAGUGGAAAGUUCACACUGUGACGGUAUCUUACCAGAAAGGGACGGCUAACUACGUG